UACGGAGGGUGCAAGCAUUAAUCGGAUUUAUUGGGCGUAAAGGGCGCGUAGGCGGGGAUGCAAGUCAGAUGUGAAAUCCCGGGGCUCAACCUCGGAACAGCAUUUGAAACUACAUCUCUAGAGGGUAGGCGGAGAAAACGGAAUUCCACAAGUAGCGGUGAAAUGCGUAGAUAUGUGGAAGAACACCGGUGGCGAAGGCGGUUUUCUAGCUUAUUCCUGACGCUAAAGCGCGAAAGCAAGGGGAUCAAACAGG
rnacentral:rRNA from 1 species